CCUUUCUGGAAGCAUCUCUCUGCACCGACAUAUCUACACCGACAUCAACUCUUGCAGACUAUAAAUUGAAAUCAGCAGAGGCGAAAUAUAUACUAAUUUCGUUCACUUGAUUACCACAUCAUUCAGCUUACUUGAUUUCAGUUUAAGUUAACUAUCAUCAUUCUGUUUAUUAGGCUAUUGAGCUUUUAUUGAAUUCAAAUCAGUAAACAUGUUUUCUUAUUUUUCUGUUUUCUUAAUCGAAUAAAUUCAAUUCAAUUGCUUCCUGGUUGAAUUCUAUACUGUAUGAUAAUCUUUAUUUUUCUUUUCCAACAGCUCCGAAACUCGGUUUUGGGAGAAAUGUCAGAAAAGAAGGUUGUACUCGAGCGAAAUGGAGCAGCUUUGAUAUUUAACAAAAUUGUCUUUUUGAUAUUGUUGUUUCAAUUUUUUUUUUACUGUCAUUCUCAUUUGAUUAGCUGUUGUUUUCAGUUUUGAAAUCAUAUUUGUUUUUAUGUUGUUGAGACUCUGUUUUUUCUUCGCGAGACCUUUGUUGGGUACUUGAAUCACUAUGGUUAAUUGGUUUUCUGGUCUGAAGUCAUGUUGCCAUAAAUAUGAAAUUUGUGUUGAAUUACAGAAUUUGGACAAGUGCGUACAAUACAUGUUGAUAAUGGCUUGGGUCCUGCAAUGGCAGACGUGUCAAAGUGAUGACGUUGAUGGAGUCGGGUCAUUCUUAUUCAAAGCAUGCACAAUAGAUGGUUGGUAUAUUUGCGUGCAGCCUAUGAUUGGUUCAAAGUGAAUGGCACAAAGAUGAUCGAGGGCGUUCAGAUUUGAGGUUGAAUAAUAUGACAAAGGAAGGAAGAUGUAAGGAUCGCUCUUUAGGAAGACGCUGCACGCAUCUUUGAAGCCCAACACAUUAGCCAUCUGCCACCUCCAUUUUGAGUUGUAUUCACAAGUUUAACAGUCAAAGAAUUCCAACGCAAACCAGUCUUAAAUAGAACCAUGAGUACAUGCAUCUUCAUCAAUCCAAACAUUCCCGACAGAGCGGAGUACAAACAAAGUUUUUCUGAACUAUUUCUUGCUCCAACAAAACAAAUAAUAGGAGCUGAUGGACUGGAGGAUGUAGAAAAAAAGACAGUCAAAGAACUCAACCUACUAGAUCCAGAAACAGACAAGGAAUCCAUUCACGUGCAAUUGUCAUGACUGAAACAGAAAGAAGAAGACUUUAAGCAAUUCAAAAAUGAGGCGUACCUAUGCAUAUUGCAGAUUAAAGUUUGAGUCCCGCAAUUGAAAAAUCAGGUAGAUAUAUGGCACCUGUCAGAGCGAUAAACAGAAUUAUACACCUCAGGAUGUUUGCCAAGAUUUUGCACCAUUGGCAAGGAAUGAUGGAAACAACAGCUUUCAAAUUAAGACAUUUGUAAAUCCCAUAGCAGGUAAUAGCCUUUGUCUACUGCUUAACAAAUAGCAAAAAAUACAUUGCUGCAAAUGCCUUUACUCUUCAAGGUUCAAAAGAAUCGAAGUUUUUUUCACCACAAUUCUUGCUAGAUUGUUCGUGUUCUUUUGUUUCAUGUACUUUCUGAAAAAUAGAAAGAAAGUUUUUAUUUACAUGUGAUUAGGAAAUUGAUUAUAUUAUUUACAGAUGAUCCACUUGCAUAUAUAACAUGUACAUUGCAUUCAUAGCUUUUCAAUUUUACUUCCAACUCUUAGGAGGUCAAGGUGCUCAAAUGAUUCUAUUGCAAUUCUGUGGCAUUAUACCAAUAUACCCCCCAAUUUGGGACAAUGAUCGGAAGAAUCAAACUUUUUUUUUUUAAGGAAUCAGCACCUGUCUACCUAAUUGCAGCAAAAAUUGCUCAUGUAUGUAUCUGGUUAACAUACCAGAUUUUGAAAUCUAUAAAAAAAAAAACUCUGAUUAUUGAUAUAAUGUUUCAAACAUUUGUUUUUGUUGUAAUUAAACAUAUAACAAACCAGCAGCAUCACGCGAGGUUGAUCUCUAUCGUUGUUUACGCAAGCAAUUACUCUCCUAAACAACAGUAAUGUUAUGAAAUCAGGAAUACCAUAUAAUGUUAUGUAAUAAUUUAUUUCUUCCAUUGCAUACUUCUAA